CGUUGGUUUUACUUGGUUGAGAUUUUCAAUCCAUUGAAAAUGGUCAUUUAAGACCGAACCCACUAAACCGUCGAGAUGGAAGUUCGUUCAAAAGCAGAAGCCUUAAGGGGUUCACCACUGGUUCCAAAAUAUGUUUGCGAUUCACUUGUGGAAACAUAUUUACAACAUUGACGAAUCAUUAAAAUAUCCAAAGCUGUUAGCUACUUUCAACAUGUAACAAUGAAUAUACAAUUCUAACCACAACACCAGAGGAUACUCGAAACACAGGCAGGAAAUGGAUGGACCUACUACAGGAAAGGAUCUUCACAAUGGACAGUUUGCUGUUUAUUUUCAAACAUCAAAUAUCCACAACAACAUCUUCAAAUACAAUCUGUCAAGGAUCAAGCUAAAUAAUAUGGACAUUCUUUUGGAGUAUGCUGCAUGUUUGAUCUGCUUAACUAGUACAACGCAGAUCGCCGCUACAGCCUUACGUAAGGUUUUACCACUGCUCCACAAGUUCAUUCCACAAUUAAGCAUCAGCAGAUGACACUUGGAACUCCAUUUACAAAUGUUAACUUGGAGGGUUUCACCACUGGGUCCGGAACAUAUUUGCAACAUUGAGGAAUCAUUAAAAUAUCCAAAAAUGUUAGCUGCUUUCAACAUGUAGCCAAGAACAAUCAAUAUACAAUUCGAACCACAACACCAGAGGAUACUCCAAACACAUGCAGGAAAUGGAUGGAGCUUCUACAAGAAAGGAUCUUCACAAUGGACUGUUUGCUGUUUAUUUUCAUAGACCAAAUAUCCACAACAACGUCUUUACAUACAACCUGUCAAGGAUCAAAUAAAUAAUAUGGACAUUU